rnacentral:rRNA from 1 species
CCUACGGGUGGCAGCAGUGGGGAAUAUUGGACAAUGGGGGGAACCCUGAUCCAGCCAUGCCGCGUGUGUGAAGAAGGCCCUCGGGUUGUAAAUCACUUUCAGUGAGGAAGAACGCCUGGUGGUUAAUACCCAUCAGGAAAGACAUCACUCACAGAAGAAGCACCGGCUAACUCCGUGCCAGCAGCCGCGGUAAUACGGAGGGUGCGAGCGUUAAUCGGAAUUACUGGGCGUAAAGCGCGCGUAGGUGGCUUGAUAAGCCGGUUGUGAAAGCCCCGGGCUCAACCUGGGAACGGCAUCCGGAACUGUCAAGCUAGAGUGCAGGAGAGGAAGGUAGAAUUCCCGGUGUAGCGGUGAAAUGCGUAGAGAUCGGGAGGAAUACCAGUGGCGAAGGCGGCCUUCUGGACUGACACUGACACUGAGGUGCGAAAGCGUGGGUAGCAAACAGGAUUAGAUACCCUAGUAGUC